GAGCACGCCAAGGGAAGUCCCGGAGGGGAUUUGGGUGCCAAAAAGAAAAAGAAGAAACAGAAGAGAAAAAAGGAGAAACCAAAUUCCGGAGGCACCAAGUCCGACUCGGCAUCGGAUUCCCAGGAGAUUAAAAUCCAGCAGCCUUCAAAAAAUCCCACCAUUCCAAUGCAGAAGUUGCAGGAUAUCCAGAGAGCCAUGGAGCUGUUAUCUGCAUGCCAGGGCCCUGCCAGGAAUAUCGAUGAGGCUGCCAAACACAGAUACCAGUUUUGGGACACGCAGCCGGUACCCA